GAGAGUGAGAGUGAAAGAGAACCCAUUGUAAGCUGCAUUUUGAGAAAUAAGGUGCGGCCUUGUUUCCUGGUCAGUAGUAGGAAAUCUGCAGCUCAAUGGGGAGAAGAAAUAAGAUACAUCCUAAGGACUUGGCCCCACCUUCAGGUCACACAGGCCCUCCUUCACAUUCCACCUUCCUGCCCCGGAAAAGACCACCCUUGUUUGAGAGGGAUCCUCCCAACACGAGGGCUAACAGCCCCAUGGGCAAUGAAUAUUUGAAAGAGUUGCCACCAGUGAGAGUCUAUCAACGGGCCAAAACUGCCAUCAAAAAAAACAAAAGGAAUGCCAAGAUUGGCCCGAUGCAGGGCAACAAUGGUGGGGACCUGUCCCCUGCAGAGAAAGUGAGCCUGGGUAAAAGGGCCAAGGCGCUUCUCUUCAACAAGCCCUCCUCCAAAAUUCUCCCUUCGGAUUGGUGGGAUGAGCGGACAGCAGGCCAGAAGAAACAGGGAGCCCCCCCUCCCCUCUCUCUCUCCGUUUACCGACAUUUGGAGCCCCUGCCUCCCAUAGGCUUAAAGGACUCCUCCAAGGCCUCAAGCCCAAGAGGCUCACCCUGCACACCUCCCAAUUGAAGACAGCCCAGCUCCUGGGGCAGGGCCAAGAUGGAGGAGAAGACACAGGUUUUCUGCAAGCCCAGUACUUCAGCAGAGAAGUUAGAAAAUAUUUCCUCACCAAAGGUAAAUAGUGAACCCCCUAAAUGCCAGAAUCUCAGGGGACAUGGACACACCUACCCAGCACCCAGCAGCCAGUAAAUACUGAUCCCGUGCAGCUGCUGCUACUUGCAGAGGAACUUUGGACAACUCCCCCUUACCGCUAAAACAGAACUCAACUUAAAAAAAAAAAAAGAAUAGAAAAGCAUUAAAAACUCUGAUUUUAAAAAGUUUUUAUACUGAAAGAGAAGAAGAGUUUUCAGACGCUGAGGAGACUAAACAGAGAUCAUCUCCAGAUGAAGCCCAAAAGGUGACAUAAAGUGGCCCCAUCCCACAAGAAACCCCCCAAGAAGAAAUUAAAAGGGAUCUUGAGAGAAGCAAAGUGGGGAAAGAAAACGAAAACUUUGCCAAGAGGGUUUGGAAAAGGCAACUCAAAAUAGAAAAUGAACAUGAAAUAGCAAAAAGCCCCAGAAAAACAGAAGUUGUGAAACAAACAAAUGAAAAAAAGCUCCUUAAAAAACAGAAUUUGUGAAAUUGGAAAAAUGUCCAUACAACAAAAGAGCUCAUUCAAAAAUUCAAUUGGACACAUAAAAAAGUAAAUAAAGUAAAGGAAGAAAAAAAUUCACUAAAAUUAGAAUUGAACAAAUGGAAAUGAAUGACUCAAUGACAUGAGAAGAAUCAGUCAAGCAAAAUAAAAGAAAAAGGAAAAAAAAGGGGAAAUUAGGUAUUUUACAUUUUUUCCUAAUUGGGAAAAUAAAAUCUAGGAGAGAUACUCUAAGGAUUAUUGGCCUUCCUGAAAACCAUGAUGAAAAAAAGAGCCUAGCGACUAUUUGUCAGGAAAUCAGAGUCAGAAGGUAAAGUAGUCAUUGAAAAGUAUUCACCAAACAUCUCCUGAAACAGACCCCGAAAAUGAAUACUCCAAGGAAUCUCGUGGCUAAAUUUUAGAACUAUCAGGAAAAAAUAUCACAAGCAGCCAGAAAAAAAAAAAAAGAAUAGAAAAGCAUUAAAAACUCUGAUUGUAAAAAGUUUUUAUACUGAAAGAGAAGAAGAGUUUUCAGACGCUGAGGAGACUAAACAGAGAUCAUCUCCAGAUGAAGCCCAAAAGGUGACAUAAAGUGGCCCCAUCCCACAAGAAACCCCCCAAGAAGAAAUUAAAAGGGAUCUUGAGAGAAGCAAAGUGGGGAAAGAAAACGAAAACUUUGCCAAGAGGGUUUGGAAAAGGCAACUCAAAAUAGAAAAUGAACAUGAAAUAGCAAAAAGCCCCAGAAAAACAGAAGUUGUGAAACAAACAAAUGAAAAAAAGCUCCUUAAAAAACAGAAUUUGUGAAAUUGGAAAAAUGUCCAUACAACAAAAGAGCUCAUUCAAAAAUUCAAUUGGACACAUAAAAAAGUAAAUAAAGUAAAGGAAGAAAAAAAUUCACUAAAAUUAGAAUUGAACAAAUGGAAAUGAAUGACUCAAUGACAUGAGAAGAAUCAGUCAAGCAAAAUAAAAGAAAAAGGAAAAAAAAGGGGAAAUUAGGUAUUUUACAUUUUUUCCUAAUUGGGAAAAUAAAAUCUAGGAGAGAUACUCUAAGGAUUAUUGGCCUUCCUGAAAACCAUGAUGAAAAAAAGAGCCUAGCGACUAUUUGUCAGGAAAUCAGAGUCAGAAGGUAAAGUAGUCAUUGAAAAGUAUUCACCAAACAUCUCCUGAAACAGACCCCGAAAAUGAAUACUCCAAGGAAUCUCGUGGCUAAAUUUUAGAACUAUCAGGAAAAAAUAUCACAAGCAGCCAGAAAAAAAAAAAAAAGAAUAGAAAAGCAUUAAAAACUCUGAUUGUAAAAAGUUUUUAUACUGAAAGAGAAGAAGAGUUUUCAGACGCUGAGGAGACUAAACAGAGAUCAUCUCCAGAUGAAGCCCAAAAGGUGACAUAAAGUGGCCCCAUCCCACAAGAAACCCCCCAAGAAGAAAUUAAAAGGGAUCUUGAGAGAAGCAAAGUGGGGAAAGAAAACGAAAACUUUGCCAAGAGGGUUUGGAAAAGGCAACUCAAAAUAGAAAAUGAACAUGAAAUAGCAAAAAGCCCCAGAAAAACAGAAGUUGUGAAACAAACAAAUGAAAAAAAGCUCCUUAAAAAACAGAAUUUGUGAAAUUGGAAAAAUGUCCAUACAACAAAAGAGCUCAUUCAAAAAUUCAAUUGGACACAUAAAAAAGUAAAUAAAGUAAAGGAAGAAAAAAAUUCACUAAAAUUAGAAUUGAACAAAUGGAAAUGAAUGACUCAAUGACAUGAGAAGAAUCAGUCAAGCAAAAUAAAAGAAAAAGGAAAAAAAAGGGGAAAUUAGGUAUUUUACAUUUUUUCCUAAUUGGGAAAAUAAAAUCUAGGAGAGAUACUCUAAGGAUUAUUGGCCUUCCUGAAAACCAUGAUGAAAAAAAGAGCCUAGCGACUAUUUGUCAGGAAAUCAGAGUCAGAAGGUAAAGUAGUCAUUGAAAAGUAUUCACCAAACAUCUCCUGAAACAGACCCCGAAAAUGAAUACUCCAAGGAAUCUCGUGGCUAAAUUUUAGAACUAUCAGGAAAAAAUAUCACAAGCAGCCAGAAAAAAAAAAAAACUAAUAUGGAAGAAGCACAAUAAGGAUUUCCCAGGAACCUAGCAGCUUCCUCCUUAAAGGAUGGAAGGGCCUGGAAUCUGAUAUGCUGAAAGGCAAAGGAACUUGGAAUGCAGCCAAAUAUAAAUUACCCCUGUAAACUGAGCAUUUUCUUUCAGGGAAGAAGAUGGACAUUCAGUGAAACAGGUGGCUUCCAUUUAUUGCUGAUAAGAAGACCUAAAACCAAUUUUGACCUCCUUACAUUGAAAUCAUCAAGAGAAGCAUAAAAAGAGAAUCACUUCCAUCAGAAUACAUCCUCAUACAGUAUUGUUGUUGAAGUGCAUCAUGAUCUCCUGGUUCUGCUCAUUUCACUCAGCAUCAGUUCAUAAACGGCUGAGAUCACACCCCAUCCUCCUCUCGUCUGCUCACCUGUGAGCUGCCUGCCUUAGCUCUGUCUGCUUUGGUGCCACUGCUUGCCUUCACUUUGUGCCUGAACUAGCUGUCCUCAUCCACAAGCAAAAACAGACCUUUUCUGGCGAAUUUUGAGGACAUCUUCUCUUGACUAGGACCCGCUGCUCCACAGAAGGCUCUGCCCACAGACCCCGCGGGACCUCAGCCCGAGUCCACCUCACCACAUGGCGCCCUGGUGUGGAAAAGAAAACUAAACUAACUCAAUCACCAGGCUAAAUGUCUGUCCUCCACAGAAUUGGCCCCACUGCCUGGCAGAAGCUUCCACCAAUGGGCCAAGGUGCUCCUCUUCCUCAAUCGACCUCACUUCUCUUUCUCAUAUAUUGCGUAAAAUAAUAAAUAAAUAAAUAAAGAAUAAAACGAAAACCAAACACACCGACCCCCCUUCACCAUCCUGUGUGAAUGUUGGAGCCUUCCACAGAUGUGGUUCCACCUCCUGGCAGAAAGCUCUGCAAAGGGGCCAUGGCGCUGCUCUUCCCCAGUCUUAUGUCACCUCACUUCUCUUGAAAACCUGAGGGAACAGACGCCCCACUGAAACCUCCAGCAUUCACUGUGGUGCCAGCAGCUGGGCAGGCCUGGGCAAGUCCCUACCUCUGGAAGAAGCUGGUCUCUGGGCUGACCAAUGACCACCUCACUCCUCUCAGCCCAUUCCUCCUUCAGGCUGCAGCAGCUGCCUGCCACAGGCUUUCGGAACGCCAGCCAAAGAGGCCCCAGGAAGAAGCUCAGCCACCCUCAGAAAGGAGAAUUGCCAAACCAGUCCAUCCUGUUCACGAAGAUGUGUAAAUUGAGAAUUAAGAAUUGCCAAUGAUCCCUAGGGGUCUGGCUAAUUUCAUAUCCUAAACAGUAUAGGUAUUGGCUAUUAAAAAUUGAAUAAAAAUUUAAUUUUUUUUUA